CGAACGGGUGAGUAAUGCGUGACCAACCUGCCCCAUGCUCCAGAAUAGCUCUUGGAAACGGGUGGUAAUGCUGGAUGCUCCAACUUGACGCAUGUCUUGUUGGGAAAGUGUUUAGUGGCAUGGGAUGGGGUCGCGUCCUAUCAGCUUGUAGGCGGGGUAAUGGCCCACCUAGGCUUCGACGGGUAGCCGGCCUGAGAGGGCGGACGGCCACAUUGGGACUGAGACACGGCCCAAACUCCUACGGGAGGCAGCAGGG
rnacentral:rRNA from 1 species